rnacentral:rRNA from 1 species
AUUGAACGCUGGCGGCAGGCCUAACACAUGCAAGUCGAGCGAGCGGCGGACGGGUGAGUAAUGUCUGUGAAACUGCCUGUGGUAGGGGGAUAACUACUGGAAAAGGUAGCUAAUACCGCAUACCCUCUGAUGUGCCCCGAUGGGAUUGGCUAGUAUGUGGGGUAAUGGCUCACCUAGGCGACGAUCCCUAGCUGGUCUGAGAGGAUGACCAGCCACACUGGAACUGAGACACGGUCCAGACUCCUACGGGAGGCAGCAGUGGGGAAUAUUGCACAAUGGGCGCAAGCCUGAUGCAGCCAUGCCGCGUGUGGGAAGAAGGCCUUCGGGUUGUAAAGCACUUUCAGCGAGGAGGCGUUACUCGCAGAAGAAGCACCGGCUAACUCCGUGCCAGCAGCCGCGGUAAUUC